GACGAACGCUGGCGGCGUGCCUAAUACAUGCAAGUCGAGCGAAUGGAUGGGAGCUUGCUCCCUGAAGUUAGCGGCGGACGGGUGAGUAACGCGUGGGCAACCUGCCUGUAAGACUGGGAUAACUUCGGGAAACCGGAGCUAAUACCGGAUACAUUCUUUCUUCGCCUGAAGAAAGAUGGAAAGAUGGUUUCGGCUAUCACUUACAGAUGGGCCCGCGGCGCAUUAGCUAGUUGGUGAGGUAACGGCUCACCAAGGCAACGAUGCGUAGCCGACCUGAGAGGGUGAUCGGCCACUCUGGGACUGAGACACGGCCCAGACUCCUACGGGAGGCAGCAGUAGGGAAUCUUCCGCAAUGGACGAAAGUCUGACGGAGCAACGCCGCGUGAGCGAAGAAGGCCUUCGGGUCGUAAAGCUCUGUUGUUAGGGAAGAACAAGUACCAGAGUAACUGCUGGUACCUUGACGGUACCUAACCAGAAAGCCACGGCUAACUACGUGCCAGCCGCCGCGGUAAUAC
rnacentral:rRNA from 1 species